rnacentral:lncRNA from 1 species
AGGUAAUGCAAGAUCAAAGGGGUAAGCAAUACUGGGGGCCCCCAGGCCAGAAGCACUCCCCAAAACAUGCCUCCUCCAAGAAAUAAAAAAAAAGUAAGCCAGGCAUGGUGUUAUACCUCUAUAAUCCCAGCACUCAGGAGGCUGAGGCAGGAGGAUCACCACAAGUUCAAGGCAAUCCUGACCUGCCUAGUGACACCUUCUCUUUAAAAAAACAAAUAAAUGCCCAGUGAAUAGAGGUAAAUAAAUGCCCAGUGAAUAGAAGCUCCAUGAGGCACUGCUCUGACAGCUGUGGCCCUUGGUCCCCAACCUGGCCAGUUCCCUGCGGCACAUGAGCCAGAUGGCCUCUGAGGGAUCCCCUUGAUGCUACCGUGUUCCCGAGCCCAGGCACUGUCCAUGGGAAAGCCGCCACCAGGGCAGGAGGCCUCGCCUCAACACUUCCGCUCUCACAGGUUGAUGGGCUCCGCCAUCCAGACGACAGACAGACAUCUGGGCUGUAGUCACAGCAGAAAUCCUGAGGACCCUGCUAACGGUCAGGACUGUGGUGGGCCGAGUACACACCCCAAGUCAAGGCAAGGCUCGAGACCACUGUAA